rnacentral:lncRNA from 1 species
AUGAAAGCUUUAUGUCAUAAAAGGAUGGCCUCAUAAUAAUUAAAUAUCACAAGAUAAACUAUAGUAAAUAUCCCACUAACUCAAACCAUAGCCGAAGGUAAUUAUUACAAUUUCAAAUAAACUGACAUAUCAAUCCUAAACAUAAUAACUCUAAUCCAUUGGAAUGAAUGGAGCUCUCAUCACACUUGCCCAUGAUUCCCCUGAUUACCUGCCGGAAGAAAAACACAGCAUGAGCCAAAUGCCCAGUACGGAUAUAGAAUACAAUUAAUGAACCGAAAUAACUAACUCAAUUAAAUGAAAUGAGAUGGAAUGAACUGAAACGAAACGAAUAGAACUAACACAAUAAAAUGGUAGGCUGAAUCAAAUGGCUAGGUGUUAUUUCAUACCGAGCUCAAAAUAAAUAAUAACAUAUCUUGCCACACAGGCAAGUCAAAUAAUGCCACACAGGCAAUCAAACUAAUGCCACAUAGGCAAUCACACAUCGGACUGCGCAAUCCAGAUGCGUGCAAAAUCGGAAGGCGUGUUUGGCACAAACAUCACCAAUCCGCAGAAUAGAACAGAACAGAAAACUAGGGUCGACCCAUACGCCUCCCACAACAAAACACCAAAUGGCCAACUCCCACCGGAGCACAAAAUGGAGACGCCGUGGACUGAUCACACCGCCACGGAAGGUGUCAUGCCUCGGUGCCAAGAGGACAUGCCUGUGGUACCCCCACAGGUGGUUAUAGCUCAGGUAUACCCUACGGUAUUCUAACAAAAAUAUCAUGUCACAACACAUGCGACACAAUAUCAACACAAAUGGGUUAUAACGUGUACAUGUUAAACUAGAACGAGAUAUCAACACAAAGUCUCCAAAAAUAUUAACAUGUACAUUACUAAAAAUAUCAAAAUAAAUUUAGACAUGUUGUACUAGUCUACAGAGUGCAAAUAUGAGUUCCAACUAUGAACGCCAAACGAGUUUAUCACAGUGAAUUUGACAAGAAAUAAUCAUAAGAGGCAAUACUAAUUUUCAAAACGCAUAACGAAACGAAUAAAUUAAAAACAAAAGAGUCUCGCUGCAAGAGUACGGAAUCCGUACCUGGAUUAAGCAAUGUAAUAUCCAAAAUUUAA